rnacentral:rRNA from 1 species
GACGAACGCUGGCGGCGUGCUUAACACAUGCAAGUCGAACGGAAAGGCCUGCUUUCCCUUGUGGAUUGCGGGUACUCGAGUGGCGAACGGGUGAGUAACACGUGAGUGAUCUGCCCCCAACUUGGGUAUAAGCCUGGGAAACUGGGUCUAAUUCCCGAUAGGACUGCAGGGUGGUGCCUGUGGUGGAAAACGAUUUUCUAGUGGUUGGGGAUGAGCUCGCGGCCUAUCAGCUUGUUGGUGGGGUAAUGGCCUACCAAGGCGGCGACGGGUAGCCGGCCUGAGAGGGUGGACGGCCACAUUGAGACUGAGAUACGGCCCAGACUGCUGCGGGAGGCAGCAGUGGGGAAUAUUGCACAAUGGGCGGAAGCCUGAUGCAGCGACGCCGCGUGGGGGAUGACGGCCUUCGGGUUGUAAACUCCUUUCGACCGCGAGGAAGCCACCUGGUUGGAAGGGUGGUGACGGUAGUGGUAGAAGAAGCACCGGCUAACUACGUG